rnacentral:lncRNA from 1 species
AAAGAAACAGAUCUUUGCAGCGUCUAUGAGUACAGCACGUGGAGAAAGAUGCUUAGCUCUUCCCAUCCCAACCCCUCAACCUGCAUACUCAUUCCGGCUUAAAAAGUCACCUAGGCUUUGACAUUAUUUACCUUAUUUUACCAAGAAGAAAAGUGAUAUUUGCAAAAGUCAGGUAACUCGCCCAUAGAAGACAAUAAAAUCCGAUUAAUUUAUUUAUUCAUUCAUACAUACGUUCAUUUAUUCAUCCGUUUAACCAAUUCAACGAAAAUAUAUCCACUCUAUUCUGUGCCAGAUUCACUGUCACUUCUACAGCUGGGUAGUUGUGCGGCUUUGGGUAGGAGUUCUGACAUCUUUCUAGUUUUAGUUAGUUCGUUAAUUAGUACAAGAAAAGAAGUGGAGAUGAAGCUUGGGCACUCUGGUUCACGCCUAUCAUCCCAGGACGCAAAGGCUGCGGGGAGACGAUCACAAAUUCCUGCCAGAUUAACUUAGACAGGGAGGCCCUUACCUCAAAAAGAUUAAAAUUGAAAAUAAAAUUCAAAAGUACCUAAACAUAUUUACAGAAAGAUUUAGAAACGAGAAACCCUUAAAAAUUAGGAUUUGUGGUAAGGUAUCAUUAGAAAUACAGUUUAGUCACAGUUUUUAUUGCAUAUAGGAUGAUACUGCGGCUUCUCCGAUUCCCUCUUCCCACUCAUUUGCUGACAUGCGCCUACCAGAAUUGUGUUCCCUACUUCUAUCGUGCAGCAGACAAUUAAAGAGCAAGCAAGACUGAGACAUCGCACUUCUUUUGAAAAGAAGGAUUUCAAAACAGUAUAUACCCAGGAUCGCGCAUUUUAGCUCUCUUAAUGCCUUUUCCCAUCACUAAAUGUUUAAUGUCACCCACAAUAUGAUCAGGCAAUUUCCUCUCAGCUGGAGCAAAUAUAAUACAAAGGAUUGUCUAACACAGGUAAAAUAUUUUUAUCAGGAUUUGGAAUCUUCACUCAUGGAAUUGCAGUCCGGCCGAAAACUUUGUGACUCGGGGAGGUUAGGUAAUUUGUCUGAGAUCACAAGGC